AGACCCGAAACCCGGUGAUCUAGCCAUGGGCAGGUUGAAGGUUGGGUAACACUAACUGGAGGACCGAACCGACUAAUGUUGAAAAAUUAGCGGAUGACCUGUGGCUGGGGGUGAAAGGCCAAUCAAACCGGGAGAUAGCUGGUUCUCCCCGAAAGCUAUUUAGGUAGCGCCUCGUGAAUUCAUCUCCGGGGGUAGAGCACUGUUUCGGCUAGGGGGCCAUCCCGGCUUACCAACCCGAUGCAAACUGCGAAUACCGGAGAAUGUUAUCACGGGAGACACACGGCGGGUGCUAACGUCCGUCGUGAAGAGGGAAACAACCCAGACCGCCAGCUAAGGUCCCAAAGUCAUGGUUAAGUGGGAAACGAUGUGGGAAGGCCCAGACAGCCAGGAUGUUGGCUUAGAAGCAGCCAUCAUUUAAAGAAAGCGUAAUAGCUCACUGGUCGAGUCGGCCUGCGCGGAAGAUGUAACGGGGCUAAACCAUGCACCGAAGCUGCGGCAGCGACACUGUGUGUUGUUGGGUAGGGGAGCGUUCUGUAAGCCUGUGAAGGUGGCCUGUGAGGGUUGCUGGAGGUAUCAGAAGUGCGAAUGCUGACAUAAGUAACGAUAAAGCGGGUGAAAAGCCCGCUCGCCGGAAGACCAAGGGUUCCUGUCCAACGUUAAUCGGGGCAGGGUGAGUCGACCCCUAAGGCGAGGCCGAAAGGCGUAGUCGAUGGGAAACGGGUUAAUAUUCCCGUACUUGGUGUUACUGCGAAGGGGGGACGGAGAAGGCUAUGUU
rnacentral:rRNA from 2 species